GUGAAGGAGAGAGGAGAGAAGGGUGAAGGAGAGGGGAGAGAGGGGAGAAGAGAGGAGAGAGGGGUGAAGAAGAGAGGAGAGUGGGGUGAAGAACAGAGGACAGAGGGGUGAAGGGGAGGGGUGAAGAAGAGCGGAGGGAGGGGUAAAGAAGAGUGGAGGGAGGGGUAAAGAAGAGCGGAGGGAGAGGUAAAGAAGAGAGAAGAGAGGGGUGAAGGAGAGAGGAGAGAGGGGUGAAGAAGAGAGGAGAGAAGGAUGAGAGGGGUGAAGAAGAGAGGAGAGAGGGGUGAAGGAGAGAGGGGUGAAGAAUAGAGGAGAGAGGGGUGAAGAAGAGAGGAGAGAGGGGGGAGAGAGAGAGGAGAGAGGGGUGAAGGAGAGAGGAGAGAGGGGUGAAGGAGAGAAGGAGAGAGG
ensembl:lncRNA